rnacentral:lncRNA from 1 species
CAGGAGGGGUCCCCUCUGAAGCAACUUAAUGUUUUCAUUCUGUCAAUUUUAGUAUUUUGCCACGCAGUCUUUGUGGACAUCAUAUCAUACACUUAUGCAGAGUCUCGACACGCAGUAUCUAGCCAUGAGUUGUUCACCUGCUGUUUCUACCGGUGUGGAGUAGUAUAAAAAGUAAAAGUACAGACAACUCACAGAUAAUUUGCUUCACUUGAAUUUAUUUUGGAAACUUUGGCCCUGCCUCUCCCAUUGUGAAAUAUGUUUACUACUACAUCAGCACGGUAAAGAUAAGAAUUUUUAUUUUCACACCAUUAUUUAAUAACCAAUGAAAGGGUUUGCCUCCUAAUUUUGGACUUACAAGCUGUUUAGUAACAAAGCAUUUUUUCUACUUUAAAAAUUGUUGGAAUAUUACAUUGUACAAAAUGAACAAUUCUUCAUUUAUGACUAUAUAUUAAGUUGUUGACCCUUAUCUUGAUCAAUCUCUGUCUCGCUGUGGCUAAUGAAAAUAUUACCCCAAUUUCUUUUUCACAGAGGUCUAGUCCCCAAGAGGAACAGCAGUGUCUUCAAGAA